rnacentral:lncRNA from 1 species
CCGGCGCAAACUUCACCAUAUCUGGGGCGAAAGGCUAUUCUUUCACUGUCUACAAAAUGGCAACAAAAAGGUACAAGCUGGAACCAAGAUAAUAACCAGAUUGAAAAGACCUCAGCCCCCAACCAAUAAUUUACUCUUCAAAUGAAAUGCGCCGACAAGUAGUUGCACCAGGGCACUUUGUUCCCCUUUUGUGUUUGUGUGCACUUUGGUCAAAUGGGUACCAGCUCCAGUUAUAAAAUAUUUUCUGUUCCAGAUGUAACCAGGCAGCUAUUUGAUGCAUCACCGAAUGCUUAGGCUGCUCAAAUCAUCAACAAUAUGCAGAGUCCCGUUCAAAGUGCCCAGCUCUCCGUCCUUUGGUUUCAGCUGAGGGUUUGGGGCAAUUCCAUUUUCUGGUGAAUUCUC